rnacentral:rRNA from 1 species
UACGUAGGGGGCAAGCGUUGUUCGGAAUUACUGGGCGUAAAGGGCUCGUAGGCGGCCAACUAAGUCAGACGUGAAGUCCCUCGGCUUAACCGGGGAACUGCGUCUGAUACUGGAUGGCUUGAGUCCGGGAGAGGGAUGCGGAAUUCCAGGUGUAGCGGUGAAAUGCGUAGAUAUCUGGAGGAACACCGGUGGCGAAGGCGGCAUCCUGGACCGGCACUGACGCUGAUGAGCGAAAGCCAGGGGAGCAAACGGG